GUUGAAGAUAUCAAAAGAGUUUUUUGUGGCUGAGUUGUUGAUUUGAUUUUUCUUAGAAGUCAUCCUGGCUGUUAUGUCCUCUCUCCCUGCUUUCCAGUCAGGUAAUAAUUGCAUUCCACCUUCUACACAGGGUUUCCAUUUCAUGUCAAAAUGGUGCACAUUAGAAUAAAAACCCUGGGAGAAGGGAGAAAGAUGUAAGCUACAAACACUGAAGGUGAUGCUGUCACAGAGUUGGGCCCAAUAUCCACUUCAGCCCUAACCUAAAACCACCAAGAGUUAAAACUUGGGAAGAGUGCCAUCAACACCAAAGGGAGCUGUGCUUUCCAGGAGUGCCUACACCACUCAAAGCCAGGACUUUGCUUCAAAUCUCAUCCCUCACUUCUGGGAUAAAAAGGGGGCUGCUCCAAGGCCACGGAUCAAGGACUGAGCAAGUCCAGGUCACAGUUUUGAAUGUUCCUGCUCAGGACAUGCUAAAGAAUCUAAAAGUUCAGCAAAGUGGCUGCACAUUGGGGCAUGAAAAGUGCACUUACAGGAUUAUUUUUUGCAUUGAAGAGAAAUCAAGCAUUUUCUUCUGUAUAAAGAAAUGUCUUGGACAUGAAGAAGAAAAGGAAUAUGUUAAUCCCUGUGUUACUGAUUUGCUAUUUUAAAAUUCCAGUUGUCCCUGGACUCACUAAGAAUGUAAGAGGGAAACACAGUGAUGAGGGGAUAUAAACCCAAGGGCCAGGACAUAAAGCAGAGGAUAUGAUAUGUAUGUACUCAAAAUGGUUUAUGUAUGUUUGCUUUGAUCUUUAAAUGUAAACCUAAUGCUUAUCACAA
rnacentral:lncRNA from 1 species